rnacentral:rRNA from 1 species
GGAGGUAGUGACAAUAAAUCACAAUGCGGGACUAUUUAGUUUUGCAAUUGAAUUGAGAACAAUGUACAAGAGUUAUCGAUAAACAAUUGGAGGGCAAGUCUGGUGCCAGCAGCCGCGGUAAUUCCAGCUCCAAUAGCGUAUAUUAACGUUGUUGCAGUUAAAAAGCUCGUAGUUGAAGUGUGGGAUAAUGUAUAUUGGAUCUUUUAGUGAAGAUAUAUGUUGUCCUCCCCCCAAUUUCGGUCUGUGGGUAUUAAUUUACUUGCAGUUCGUGUUGGUCAUUUACUGUGAGAAAAUUAGAGUGUUCAAAGCAGGCAUUUGCUUGAAUAUAUUAGCAUGGAAUAAUAAUAAAAGGCUUGUAUGGUCGAUUUAAUUGGUUUGUUCAUAUAAGCAAGAUUAAUAGGGACAGUUGGGGGUAUUCAUAUUCAAUAGUUAGAGGUGAAAUUCUCGGAUUUAUGGAAGAUGAACAAGUGCGAAAGCA